GCAGGUAUAGCUCAGCAGUAGAGUGUGUGCUUGGCAUGCAUGAGAUCCUGUGUUCAAUCCCCAGUACCUCCA
rnacentral:tRNA from 1 species